rnacentral:rRNA from 1 species
GGCGACGGGUGAGUAACACGUGGGCAAUCUGCCCUGCACUCUGGGACAAGCCCUAARRAACGGGGUCUAAUACCGGAUAACACCCCCUCUCGCAUGGRRGGGGGUUGAAAGCUCCGGCGGUGCAGGAUGAGCCCGCGGCCUAUCAGCUUGUUGGUGAGGUAGAAGCUCACCAAGGCGACGACGGGUAGCCGGCCUGAGAGGGCGACCGGCCACACUGGGACUGAGACACGGCCCAGACUCCUACGGGAGGCAGCAGUGGGGAAUAUUGCACAAUGGGCGAAAGCCUGAUGCAGCGACGCCGCGUGAGGGAUGACGGCCUUCGGGUUGUAAACCUCUUUCAGCAGGGAAGAAGCGAAAGUGACGGUACCUGCAKAAGAAGCGCCGGCUAACUACGUGCCAGCAGCCGCGGUAAUACGUAGGGCGCAAGCGUUGUCCGGAAUUAUUGGGCGUAAAGAGCUCGUAGGCGGCUUGUCACGUCGGUUGUGAAAGCCCGGGGCUUAACCCCGGGUCUGCAGUCGAUACGGGCAGGCUAGAGUGUGGUAGGGGAGAUCGGAAUUCCUGGUGUAGCGGUGAAAUGCGCAGAUAUCAGGAGGAACACCGGUGGCGAAGGCGGAUCUCUGGGCCAUUACUGACGCUGAGGAGCGAAAGCGUGGGGAGCGAACAGGAUUAGAUACCCUGGUAGUCCACGCCGUAAACGGUGGGAACUAGGUGUUGGGC